rnacentral:rRNA from 1 species
UGCUGCAUGGCUGUCGUCAGCUCGUGUCGUGAGAUGUUGGGUUAAGUCCCGCAACGAGCGCAACCCUUGUCUUCAGUUGCCAGCACGUAAAGGUGGGAACUCUGAAGAUACUGCCCCGGUUAACGGGGAGGAAGGUGGGGAUGACGUCAAGUCCUCAUGGCCCUUAUGCCCAGGGCUACACACGUGCUACAAUGGCAUAUACAAAGGGUCGCGAUACCGCGAGGUGGAGCCAAUCCCAUAAAGUAUGCCACAGUCCGGAUCGCAGUCUGCAACUCGACUGCGUGAAGUCGGAAUCGCUAGUAAUCGUGAAUCAGAAUGUCACGGUGAAUACGUUCCCGGGCCUU